CAGUCGCCACGGUAAUACGUAGGGUGCGAGCGUCAAUCGGAAUUACUGGGCGUAAAGCGUGCGCAGGCGGUUAUAUAAGACAGAUGUGAAAUCCCCGGGCUCAACCUGGGACCUGCAUUUGUGACUGUAUAGCUAGAGUACGGUAGAGGGGGAUGGAAUUCCGCGUGUAGCAGUGAAAUGCGUAGAUAUGCGGAGGAACACCGAUGGCGAAGGCAAUCCCCUGGACCUGUACUGACGCUCAUGCACGAAAGCGUGGGGAGCAAACAGGAUUAGAUACCCCCGUAGUCCCUGUCUCUUAUAC
rnacentral:rRNA from 1 species